CAAUCUGGGGUGGACAAAAUCCAGGAGAAGCAUUUGAAAUUUCCCUCGUAUUGAGAGCCAGUUCUAAAAGAUAGGAAGAUAAAUUUCUUGCCGUGAAAAUGAUGGAUCAGUUAGGAUCUCUACAGAAACUUCUAUUACAAUCUUCUCCCAUCCAACAGGAAUUGGUUGUUCUUCUGAAAAUGGAUAGCUGCCAAUCAUAUUGCACCGGUGCAAUUAUGUUUUCAUCAUCUUCACAGCAGAGAACUAAUUUGCAUAUAUCUGAAUAACGGUCUAUGAUCCAUUUGAUCAAGUGUUGGAUGUUCUCUACAGCUUUGUCGACCUCGUAAAGAAUUAUUACUGAAAUCAAGGGAAUCCAACCAGAUUAGCCAGGCUCACAUGAAAGGAUAAAUCUGUUUAAAAAGAGAAACAUGUAUCUCCACAACUAACCUUUAUAAUCUGAUUUGAAAUUCGCAUUGCUUACUUCAGGGGUAAUUGCAUAUAUAUUGCUAAUUUCUUUGAUUAAUCCCAUCAAAGCAUAUUUGGCAUUUGGUUCUGAAUUUACAUUGAGCUCCAUGUGAUGAGAGCUGGACGUGAUUGGAACCGAUACUUUCAUAGUCCUUUUGUCC